UUGAAAUAUGUAAAAUAAAUAUCAGAAAGAGAAAGCAAGCUGGCAAGAGGGGAGAGAGGGAGAGAAAGAGAGAGAGAUGUAGAGGGACAGAGACAUCGAGAGACAGAAUGGAACAGAGAGAGAGAAAAUGAAACAAUGAGUGAGAAAAAGAUGGUGUGGGAGAAAGGAUUGUGUGUGAGAGUAAGAGAGGGAGCAAGACAAAGAGGGGGACAGUGAAAGACAAUGACAGAAAGCCGCAUACCGUACACGUAUACUGCCAAACGAGACGUUUCUCUGGACCGAAGUGCAGAACCCAGUACAGCACAAAGGAGGAUACAGAAGGACUUGGGGUCCCUGUCGAUAGUUCCUUCAAACUUGCCGCAUAAAUCGAUAGGAUACAAGCAAGAAGAACCCUGUGUGAAGCAGGUGGAGAGUGAGUCGGGACCACGAGGAACAAGGAGCGCCUGGCCAACGUAAAUUCCUCCGCCUGGGUAAUACCUUUGCUAUUCUUUGACUAUCCAGGAGAGUCAGGGAUACUUAGCAGGUGUGCGCACAAGGUAUUUAGUGUAUAAAUUCACGUAUUAGUUAGUUUAAACAAUAAAGGUAAUUGUCAGUAAAUA